UGAGUUUAUGAUGGAUCAACGGCACGCAACAAAAUUAAUGGCUAAACUAUGGACGUGGAUAAACAGGCUAUACGGUUCAGAGUUAAGAUACGACGAAUUUUGUGAAGCGGCGUUAGAGAAAAGGCCUGGGACUGUAUCCAACCCUAACAUGCACCAAAGAAUGCUACAGGGGCAGGAAAUUACCACUCAUCAUAGAUAACCCACCAAUGGUGUGUAAAUCCUGGACUGAGCUGAAGAAACCGCUUUUUAAUUGACCACAGAUUGACCUAGAGCUAUCCAGGUUGAUGGCUUGGUCGAAUGACAGUUGUAGAACUUCACAGUUGUAACCAGAGAGUUAGAACAUAAAGCUUUCUGUUACUGUAGACUCUCCAACCUGGAGUUGGAUGAAAAUUCACGCUAUCUGCCUUAUAUUUUACCCGGUCUCAAAUAGGGGUUGUCUAUGAUAUCUUGCUGCGCGACUGCUUCGCCACAUUGUUCAACACCUUCAGCUGGUAGACUUGGUUCACACUGGAACUCUGGCUCUGGUUCAAACACUUGGUCUUGUGGCAGCAGUGCGGUUAAAUAGCUUGGAAAUUGGG
rnacentral:lncRNA from 1 species